rnacentral:rRNA from 1 species
AGCAGCCGCGGUAAUUCCAGCUCCAAUAGCGUAUAUUAAAGUUGUUGCAGUUAAAAAGCUCGUAGUUGAAUUUCGGGGUUAGUAGGUUGGUCAUGCCUCUGGUAUGUACUGGUCUCACUGAUUCCUCCUUCCUGAUGAACCGUAAUGCCAUUAAUUUGGUGUUGCGGGGAGACUGGACUGUUACUUUGAAAAAAUUAGAGUGUUUAAAGCAGGCUAACGCUUGAAUACAUUAGCAUGGAAUAAUGAAAUAGGACGUUCGAUCUUAUUUUGUUGGUUUCUAAGAUUGACGUAAUGAUUAAUAGGGAUAGUUGGGGGCAUUAGUAUUCAAUUGUCAGAGGUGAAAUUCUUGGAUUUAUUGAAGACUAACUACUGCGAAAGCAUUUGCCAAGGACUGUUUUCAUUAAUCAAGAACGAAAGUUAGGGGAUCGAAGACGAUCAGAUACCGUCGUAGUCUUAACCAUAAACUAUGCCGACUAGGGAUCGGAUGAUGUAAUUUUUAAUGACUCAUUCGGCGCCUUAC